GGGCCCGCACAAGCGGUGGAGUAUGUGGUUUAAUUCGAUGCAACGCGAAGAACCUUACCAGGGUUUGACAUCCUGCGAAUCUCUUGGAAACGAGAGAGUGCCUUCGGGAACGCAGUGACAGGUGGUGCAUGGCUGUCGUCAGCUCGUGUCGUGAGAUGUUGGGUUAAGUCCCGCAACGAGCGCAACCCACGUCGUUAGUUGCCAGCAUUUUAGUUGGGCACUCUAGAGAGACUGCCGGUGAUAAACCGGAGAAGGUGUGGAUGACGUCAAGUCAUCAUGCCCCUUACACCUGGGCUACACACGUACUACAAUGCUACGGACAAAGGGCAGCAAGUUCGCGAGGACAAGCAAAUCCCAUAAACGUGGCUC
rnacentral:rRNA from 1 species